GGUAAUACGGAGGGUGCGAGCGUUAAUCGGAAUUACUGGGCGUAAAGCGCAUGCAGGUGGUUUGUUAAGUUCAGAUGUGAAAGACCCGGGGCUCAACCUCGGAAUAGCAUUUGAAACUAGGCAGACUAGAGUACUGUAGAGGGGGGUAGGAAUUUCAGGUGUAGCGGUGAAAUAGCGUAGAGAUCUGAAGGAAUACCGGUGGCGAAGGCGGCCCCCUCGGACAGAUACUGACACUCAGAUGCGAAAGCGUGGGGAGCAAACAGGAUUAGAUACCCUGGUAG
rnacentral:rRNA from 1 species